GCCGAGUGUUGGGGGUGGGGGAUGCAGCACAUCAAGAUUAAUAACCUUGCCAUAAUCCCGGGCACCCUGCAAGCAGACACCUCUGCUGAUUAACCCGCUCCCAGCUUGAUGAAUCUGCCUGGGGGAGAGGGAUCUGGAAUCUACCUAGUCUCUCCCCCCCCUUUCCCUUCACCCCCUGAUUUUGGAUGCUCUUUUGAUCCUACACUGAUCUGGGAAGGUAACAACAGUCAGCUGUUCCAUCUGCAGCACACAGCCGCUAUUGGAGGUUACUACUGACAGUUUUCAUUACACUGGUUUGUGUGAGUGUGUGUUUGUAUGUUUUUGUGAGUGCCUGCCGGGUGCCUGCUUGUGCGUGAAAGAGGAUGUUGUGUGUGUGUGUGUGUGUGUGUGUGUGUGUGUGUGACAAGCAAAGCAGGUAUAUCGUACAGUAGAUUUCAACAGCAUGAAAAUAAUUUCUGAGUAUUUGGGCUCAGUCUGUGGCCCCCUAGCUUUGACCACCCCCUUUCCUUCCCACUCCCCCCUUCUCUUUUUGCCUUUGAUGAGUUUUUGGCUUACUUUUUGGCGGAGUCUCUUGGACACGUUUUUCUUUCUUUCCUUCUUCUUUUUCUUCUUCUUUUUUUUUUUUUUCAUGCUGGUGCUGGAAGAUCAUAUAAAUGGAACCUUUGGAAAUUGAAUGUUUCUCUUCUAUGAGACUUUAAAUAAAAAGAAGAAAAGAAACAUAGAGUAGUACAAGACAAACUAGAGGAUUGAAAUGUUUUCCUUGGUGAACUUUGAGGAUCCAUAGAGAAGAAACCAAAUGAAAUGUUUACUGUCAUUAGCCUUAUUUGUUGAAGAGGAUACUGAGGCUUGCAGAGAAUUAAUAACUUGUCCAAGAUCAUCUAAAGUGGAAUAAUAAAGAGUGAAUGAACUAAAAGCACACACACCAGCAGGAACCAGCCUUUUAUCAAGGGGAAGAUUUACAGAAGCAAAGCAGUGACAGAAAUGGUUCUCUGUAUUGCAAGUCUGAAUGACCACCCAGUGAGAGUGGGGCCAAUAAGUGGGAUCCUCUGACACAUUGAACGAAUUACUGGAUGAACAGAGAUAAUGUCUAUAGAUUAACAAGAUGGAAACUUGCUGAAACUAAUUUGGAACCUUUUCAAUUGACUGAAUUCAAGUUUUACCAACAAGGGAACCGGCCCAGUGACAAUU